rnacentral:tRNA from 2 species
GGAGGGAUGGCCGAGCGGUUGAAGGCAGCGGUCUUGAAAACCGUCGUAGUGCAAACUACCGUGGGUUCGAAUCCCACUCCCUCCG